GACGAACGCUGGCGGCGUGCUUAACACAUGCAAGUCGAACGGUAAGGCCCUUCGGGGUACACGAGUGGCGAACGGGUGAGAAACACGUGGGUGAUCUGCCCUGCACUUCGGGAUAAGCCUGGCAAACUGGGUCUAAUACCGGAUAGGACCACUGCCUGGAUGGGUGGGGGUGGAAAGCGUUUGCGGUGUGGGAUGGGCCCGCGGCCUAUCAGGUUGUUGGUGGGGUGAUGGCCUACCAAGGCGACGACGGGUAGCCGGCCUGAGAGGGGUGACCGGCCACACUGGGACUGAGAUACGGCCCAGACUCCUACGGGAGGCAGCAGUGGGGAAUAUUGCACAAUGGGCGCAAGCCUGAUGCAGCGACGCCGCGUGAGGGAUGACGGCCUUCGGGUUGUAAACCUCUUUCAGCACCGACGAAGCGUAAGUGACGGUAGGUGCAGAAGAAGGACCGGCCAACUACGUGCCAGCCGCCGCCGUAA
rnacentral:rRNA from 1 species